rnacentral:rRNA from 1 species
UAAGACCAAAGUGCAACUAAGCUGUCAUAAGCUCAAGAUGUGCCUAAGACCCCCCUUAAAACGAUCUUAGCGUCUCUGAUCAAUUUAAUUCCACGAAAGCUAAGACACAAACUGGGAUUAGAUACCCCACUAUGCUUAGCCCUAAAUCUUGAUGCCCCCAUGUACUAGAGCAUCCGCCUGAGAACUACGAGCACAAACGCUUAAAACUCUAAGGACUUGGCGGUGCCCUAAACCCACCUAGAGGAGCCUGUUCUAUAAUCGAUAACCCACGUUACACCCGACCACCUCUUGCCAAAGCAGCCUACAUACCGCCGUCGCCAGCUCACCUCCUCUGAGAGUCCAACAGUGAGCACAAUAGCCGAAACCCGCUAAUAAGACAGGUCGAGGUAUAGCCUAUGGGGUGGAAGAAAUGGGCUACAUUUUCUAAAGUAGAAAAUUUACGGAAGGGGGCAUGAAACUGCCCCCCGAAGGCGGAUUUAGUAGUAAAGUGGGAUAAUAUAAGCCCUCUUUAAGACGGCCCUAGGGCACGUACAUACCGCCCGUCACCCUCC